GAUGAACGCUAGCGGGAGGCCUAAUACAUGCAAGUCGAGCGGUAGAGUGACUUCGGUUGCUUGAGAGCGGCGAACGGGUGAGUAACGCGUACACAAUCUACCUUUAAGAGGGGAAUAGCCCUGGGAAACUGGGAUUAAUGCCCCAUGGCAUCACGAGACGGCAUCGUUUUGUGAUUAAAGCUGAGGUGCUUAGAGAUGAGUGUGCGUCUGAUUAGCUAGUUGGUGCGGUAACGGCGCACCAAGGCGACGAUCAGUAGGGGGCGUGAGAGCGUGGACCCCCACACGGGUACUGAGACACGGACCCGACUCCUACGGGAGGCAGCAGUAAGGAAUAUUGGUCAAUGGGCGAGAGCCUGAACCAGCCAUCCCGCGUGAAGGAAGAAGGCGCUAUGCGUUGUAAACUUCUUUUUCAGGGGGAUAAAAUAUUGUAUGUAUACGAUACUGAAGGUACCCUGAGAAUAAGCAUCGGCUAACUCCGUGCCAGCAGCCGACGG
rnacentral:rRNA from 1 species